ACGGCCAUAGGUCGCAACGUCCCCUCCAGCCGACCUAGUCGCGCCAAGACCCACUUAUAUGUCAUUACAAUUCCUGCCAAGAGCGCGGGGCUCCUAGGUUGUCACUCAAGCAGUCCUGACAUCAUCACUUUUAAACUGACCUACGACCCCGACUGGGAUAAGCAGUAGGAUGAAUGACUUGGUUGAUGCUGAUCUAAAGCAGUUACCCAACCCAGUCUUCAGGGACCCACAGAUGAUCCAAGUUUUUGCAAAAACGUGGACUGUAUGGAGUUCAGAUUGGAAAACACUGAUCUAAAGCGAUUUAACUUUUUUAUACUCCUCUCUAUUUAACUGGAGCAGCCUAGAAUGAGUACUUUCCUUAAGGGUACAACAGAGAAGACCCUUUUGUGACUUAAAUCACUAAUAAUGAGGCUGUAAUUUUGUGCUUAAUAUCCUGCCAAUCUGCAAAAUCUCCUUUUUUUAUAAGUAUGGGAUUAAAUAACAGUUUGUUGCUGAGCAAAGAUUGCAUUUGCCUGUAUAGUCCUACUAAUUCAUGGUUUUUCGAGAAAUAAAAAAAAAACUCUUCAGA